rnacentral:lncRNA from 1 species
UAGUGGACUGGAAACAAUAUUUAUCUGAUCUCUGAUUUUGCUUUUUUAUAGGGCCUGAAGAGAUGGAAAGCGGUUAGUUUCAGGACUGAAACUAGGAAUGAUAAUGUUUUCUUACUUCAAGGAAGAUUUUCUGAGUGGUGUGAAGAACUUAAUGGUAUGAAGAACAUAUUGAAAUCAAUGAAAAUUUUUCCAUAAAGUUCCUUGAGGACUGUUGACUUCAUUCACUAAAUCAGGAUUAGUAAUCCUGGAAAGGACAAGGCCAUCUUCAGAGAUUUCUACUGCUUUAUGUGACACAGGAUUCAGUGAAACCUGUUCUAUCAGUUAUACAGCAACAUGAGUAUUCGAUUUUUUUUUUUGCCUCAGAUGUUACUGGCAAUCAGUCUUCCUAUAUCUCUAAAUUUCUGGUAACAGAAGAACACUUUCAAGAUAACCUGAGAAACCUGAACACACACAAGUCCAUGGGACUUGACAAGAUGAAUUCCAGGGUCUCAGGAAAAUUGACAGAUGAAGUCAUUAAGCUACUCUAUCACAUUUGAAAAGUCAUAGAAGUCAGGUGAAGUCCUUGGUGACUGAGAGAAAAGAGAAUAUUACAACCACUAUCAAGAAAGGUAAUAAGAAAGACCCUGGGAAGUACGAGCUUCUCUCUGUGUCUGGCAAGACUGUGGAACAGAUUAUCCUGGAAAUUAUGAUAAAGACCACAGAACACAGGGACAAGGGAGUAGAGAAAACCAAGAUGGUUUCACCAAGGUCAAAUUCUACCUGAUUUAUCUAACAGUGGCCUUUCGGGGUGGAGUGACUGCAUCAGUGAAUAAGUGAAGAGGUUUGGUCAUCAUCUACCUUAUCUUCUGUAAGAUCUUUGAUAUGGAUCCCCACAUUUUUACCUCUAAGUAGGGAAGAUAUGGAUUGGAUAGAUGGACUGUUAGAUGGAUAAGGAAUUGGUUAGAAUGGCCACAUUUGAAGAAUUUCAGUCAGUUUCUCAAUGUUCAAAUAGAAACCGGUAACAAGUUCCUUCAAGGGUCCAUAUUAGAAUGAAUAUUAUAUAAUUUCUUCAUCAAUGGCAUUUUUAGUAAAAUUCAAAGCAUCUUUAGGAAGUUUGCAAUUGACGCUAUGAAAGAUGCUGGGCCAUGCCCAAUCU